AUUGAACGCUGGCGGCAGGCCUAACACAUGCAAGUCGAGCGGAGCGGCGGACGGGUGAGUAAGGCCUAGGAAUCUGCCUGGUAGUGGGGGAUAACGUCCGGAAACGGGCGGUAAUACCGCAUACUAUUAGAUGAGCAUAGGGCGGAUUAGCUAGUUGGGGGGGUAAAGGCCUACAAAGGCGACGACCCGUAACUGGUCUGAGAGGAUGAUCAGUCACACGGGAACGGAGACACGGUCCAGACUCCUACGGAAGGCAGCAGUGGGGAAUAUUGGACAAUGGGCGAAAGCCUGAUCCAGCCAUGCCGCGUAGGUGAAGAAGUUCUUCGGAUUUUAAAGCACUUUAAGUUGGGAGGCGUUACCAACAGAAUAAGCACCGGCUAACUUCGUGCCAGCAGCCGCGGUAAUUC
rnacentral:rRNA from 1 species